rnacentral:rRNA from 1 species
UACGUAGGGGGCAAGCGUUGUCCGGAUUUACUGGGCGUAAAGCGCGUGUAGGCGGCGCGUCAAGUCGGGUGUGAAACCCCGGGGCUCAACCCCGGGCGGCCGCCCGAAACUGGCGCGCUUGAGGACGGAAGAGGGGAGUGGAAUUCCUGGUGUAGCGGUGAAAUGCGUAGAGAUCAGGAGGAACACCAGUGGCGAAGGCGGCUCACUGGCCCGAUACUGACGCUGAGGUGCGAAAGCGUGGGGAGCAAACAGG